GGCACAUCAUAUCCAUAACACCUGUGCACUUGUCGGAUGGCUUAGUGAAGACCGCAAGGUUGAAUCUAUCCAUCUACUUUACAUAACAAUUCUGUAACAAAUGUAGUCUUAUUAUAACAUAAUAAAACUUUCAACAACGGAUCUCUUGGCUCUCGCAUCGAUGAAGAACGCAGCGAAAUGCGAUAAGUAAUGUGAAUUGCAGAAUUCAGUGAAUCAUCGAAUCUUUGAACGCACCUUGCGCUCCUUGGUAUUCCGAGGAGCAUGCCUGUUUGAGUGUCAUGAAAACCCUCAACCCUAGAUUGGUUAAAACCUUUCUUUGGUUUGGAUUUGGACGUUUGCCGAUGAUAAGUCGGCUCGUCUUAAAAGUAAUAGCUGGAUCUGUCUCGCGACAUGGUUUGACUUGGCGUAAUAAGUAUUUCGCUAAGGACAUCUUCGGAUGGCCGCGUUGCAGGACUAAAGACCGCUUUCUAAUCCAUUGAUCUUCGGAUUAAUACUCUUGACAUCUGGCCUCAAAUCAGGUAGGACUACCCGCUGAACUUAAGCAUAUCA
rnacentral:rRNA from 1 species